rnacentral:lncRNA from 1 species
UCUGAAGUUAAAUUGAAUUUUUAACUCCGAAAGAAUUUUUCUAUUUAACCAUUAAAACUCAUUAAUCAAUUAAGCUUAAAUAAUUAAAAUCACUAAUUGUAAUUAAUAAAUUAAAUGAAACAAAAGAAAUAAAAUAAAUGAAAAAAAUAGAAAAAAAAAACAAUAUGGGAUUAUAAACAAUUAGGGGUGUUCAAAACCAAACCAACCCAAUAGAAAACCGCAAACCAAACCAAACCAAAUCGAAACUGGAAAAAACUGCAUUUGGUUCGGAUUC